rnacentral:rRNA from 1 species
ACCUGGCCUGGACUGAAACACCAUGUCAAGCUCUUCGUGGAGGCAUGCCAGAUAUGCAAGCAGGCCAAGCCGGAACGGGUUCGUUACCCCGGCCUCCUGGAGCCACUCCCGGUACCCACCCAAGCAUGGCAGAUGAUCACAAUGGAUUUCGUGGAGGGCCUUCCCCGCUCCUCUGGCUGCAACUCCAUCUUAGUGGUUGUGGACAAGUUCUCUCGCUAUGCCCAUUUCAUCGCCUUAUCCCACCCAUUCACAGCCUUCCAAGUGGCGCAGGCGUUUGUGGCUCACAUCUACAAGCUCCAUGGGCUGCCCGAGUCCAUUGUCUCUGACCGGGAUCCAGUUUUCACGAGCACCCUGUGGAAGGAACUGUUCCGUCUCACUCAUACCAAGCUGCGGAUGAGCACGGCGCGCCACCCGCAAACGGACGGACAA